rnacentral:lncRNA from 10 species
GAUCAUUACGACUGGGGACUUCGUGCUAUUAAGUCUGUCUUGGUUGUGGCUGGAUCUCUGAAACGAGGAGAUAAAAAUAGACCCGAAGAUCAGGCUUAACAGGAAGCAUGACUGGGAGAACUCAGGAAACUGACAAUCAUGGAGGAAGGCAAGGGGCAAGCACGGACCUUCUUCACAUGGUGGCAGGAGAGAGAGAGAAUGAAGGGGAAAGUGCCACACACUUUUAAACCAUCGGAUCUCGUGAGAACAGCAAGGAGGAAAUCCACCCACUUGAUGAUCCAAUCACCUCCCACUAAGCCCUCCUCUAAUUUGACAUGAGAUUUGGGUGGGGACACAAAUCCAAACCAUAUCAAUACAUAUCACCAUGUGUAUGUGCAAUAUGACUUGGGAAAUAACAACAACAACAACAAAAAACCCA